rnacentral:rRNA from 1 species
UACGGGGGGAGCAAGCGUUGUUCGGAUUUACUGGGCGUAAAGGGCGCGUAGGCGGCCACCGCAAGUCGGUUGUGAAAUCUCUGGGCUUAACCCAGAAAGGUCAACCGAUACUGCGGGGCUAGAGUGCAGAAGGGGCAACUGGAAUUCUCGGUGUAGCGGUGAAAUGCGUAGAUAUCUGGAGGAACACCGGUGGCGAAGGCGGCAUCCUGGACCGGCAUUGACGCUGAGGCGCGAAAGCCAGGGGAGCAAAGCGGG